AACACCUCAAGUCGAGAGAUUUUUUUCUUGAGACUUGGAUUUGAGUGAUCCUAAUAACGAGUCCCUUUAAAAAAGGACAAGUAGGCAGGUUACUUGAAAUUCAGGUGCAGCUGAACUUUUCUUCUGAGCUAAAAGCAUUAUUUAUUUAGUCUUUAUUGACUAUUACUUUUUUUGCUGCAGCUAAUAUAAAGGAAGAGAAGCUUCAUUAUGGCUGACUGAUGCAGGAAUUUAUCAGUCUGGUAAAAAGGACUGUUAG
rnacentral:misc_RNA from 1 species